rnacentral:rRNA from 1 species
UACGUAGGGUGCAAGCGUUGUCCGGAAUUAUUGGGCGUAAAGAGCUCGUAGGCGGACCUGCAAGUCGGGGGUGAAAGCCCGAGGCUCAACCUCGGAACUGCCUUCGAUACUGCGGGUCUCGAGUCCGGGAGAGGUGAGUGGAAUUCCUAGUGUAGAGGUGAAAUUCGUAGAUAUUAGGAAGAACACCAGUGGCGAAGGCGGCUCACUGGCCCGGUACUGACGCUGAGGCGCGAAAGCGUGGGGAGCAAACAGG